CCAGGCUGAUGGAACAGCACGUGGAAGCUUUGACGAAGAGAGCGUGUUUGUGGUUCACAGGAAGAGAAGGAAGCUGAGGGCUGGAGUAAGUUGUAAAGAUGGUUUUGCACUAACAUUUCUGAAUUCCUCUCACCGAGCGGUACUUCUCUGCCGAAUAAUGGAUUUGGAUUAGAUUGCCUACAACCACACCAAACGAUGCAACUAGUGAAGGGAUAAGGCACUGCAGAAAAGACUCAAGGGAGGAUCUACUUGGCUUUGUGUUCAAAAACAAUGAAUUCAGGAGAACCAAGAGAAAUGAAAAACGUUCAAGGUUAGGGGUUUGAACAUGCGUGUUUCUAGGGCUGUGGGGAAGGAAAUGGAAGAAAUGUAAGUAGUGGGCAGAGUGGCCAGGCUAAGAGGCUGGACCUGAAAGACACAGAGACAGAAAUGCGGGGCCCAUUAUGAAACGGAGUCCGCAUCUGGGCUGCACUUGAGUGAACGCUAAACGUGACCUUUCCUCCAUCACCACAUCAUCAUUCCUUUCACGGCAGUUAAAGCCCUUUUGUGGGUGGUGUUCUUACAUUACUGAUUUAUUCCUUCUGCUUAUUUUUCAUGGUCAGUCUUCCCAGAAACUCGUCUGUGUCAUUAAAGUUACUAUGUUAUUAAUGUUUCCAAAGAACCAGAUUUCAGUUUUGAUGAUCAUCUCUGUUUGGUUGUUACUGCUUGUUUGCUUGCUUGAUUUUUAUGUCAUCUGUAUUAUUCCCUUUCUUCUGCCAUUUUUGUGUUUCUUCUGUAUUCUUUU